rnacentral:lncRNA from 1 species
AUGAGACGGCUCAAACAAUAAUCUUUGCCCUUGAUAUUAAACUAGAUUUGUUUAACAUGUGAAAUGUCCGUAAAGUAUCAUCAUAUGAUUGGUUUUAGGGCACAUUUCCAACAAUGGAGCCAACAUCAUAUCAUUGUGAGACUUCAUUCUCUAGAGGCCAAAUAAAAUGGGUACUUGCAAGAGAUGCAAAUGAGUAAGCGUACUCUCUCAUUAUUAUUGAUGCUAGCCAACAUCAUAUCAUUGUGAGGUGGGCUUGGUAAUAAAGAGUCUCCCAUACCCUACUAAGAGUUCCUCCCAAACUCUCGAAUUCCGAUGAGGGAUAUGGAAUUUGCCAAAAAUAGUGGGUGAUGCUAUUUGAUUUAAAGACCCGAAUCAAAUGGCUUAAAAUCAAUCAAUUUAUAUUCGUUAUGUAUUUGUUUACCAAAAUAUUUGCAAACGCUAUCCGAAAGCUUUAGUUUCUGGACUUGGUACUACAAUCUCAUAGAUUGUCUAUAAUGGCUUGUAUAUGUACCUAAGUAGUCUCAUCCUCGCAAUCUUCCUAUUGAUAAUGUAUCAUUGGAAGAACAUGUUAGAUAAGUCUAUCAUCAAGAGGACAACACUUUUAAUGUCGUAAUUCUUCAAUUACAAAUUGUUGUAUGAAGAAGUAAGAGUUGCUUUGAACUACCCUUAGUUAACGCAAACAUUAGUGCUCGUUUCUUUGUUACAUGAACAAGGAACUUGAGAAGUAAGCACAAGGGCAUGGACACUUUAUGUGCCAUGAUUCUUCACUUACAAAUUGUUGUAUGAAGAAAUGAGAGUUGCCUUGAACAACUCUUGAAAGUUUGUAAUUGUGUUUAGAACAUAAUGGUUGGUUGACAAAAAUAGUCCAUCAACAUGGACUUAUGAUGAUUUUGAAUCAUUGAGUGUUGAAGUGUUAAACCACUUCUAGAGACGGAAACUAGGCAAGGACUUCACUUUUGUGUCCCUAUCCAAAUGGUUCACCAAGUUUAUUGUAAACUAUAUAGUGAACAAAUAACCACACGCUCUCCAAAUUGUUUGAUGUAUAUAACACAAUUGAAAUAAGUUUCAAGAGAGAUAGUGGGAGUUUAGGGACCAUGACUAUUGUAGUCAAGGGAGAAGUCAAAUGAAGAAGGCGAAAUAACUCCAAGGGAGCAAACUUUCUUUAUGAAAGGAUGGACAUUGGAAGGGGUAUUUGCAAGAAAUGUCUUGCAAGUGUCAAGAACACACCUUUUAAAGGUGUUGUAAAUUGUUCUUGAAUAGUUCAAAACAAUUGGUUCUUCCACUUGAAUGCUUGAUUCCGUAUUAGUAACUAUGUUCUACAAUCGUUGUAAAAGUGUGGCUAAUAAGAAGUAGAAGAUUAAUGAGAGAAGAGAAAGUACUUCACAUUCGAAAAGUGAAUCAAAUGUAGAUCUCUGCGAAAGCAAGUAGUACUUACUUCCUCAUAUGAACUACCAAAGAAAAUGAAAAACAAAGAUUGUCUUUGCAUUCCAAUUGAAAAAAGGAACUUAAUUCCGUAUGAGAAAUGGAUAAAUGUUUUGUUUGACAAAACAUUGUUCGUUAUUAAUGAAUGAUUAGAUUAUUGUAAUCUAAUUGAUUAUCUCUAUAGUAGAGAUGAUAUGGUAGUGUUAACUGUUUAGAAUAUAACAAUGCUUAAAACCCAAAAGGUUGCAAGGUAGUGACUAAUCCCAACUGAGUUGUGAUACCUCUAAAACAUAAAUUACGAGUUGGUCAUAGAUGGAUGCUUUGGAUCUUUAGAUCUGGAUCCAAUGCCUUCUUGUUAAAAUUGUAUAGAGGCAAAAUGUGUGAAUCUUUAUUCCUUUGGAAAGGAAGAAAGAAUCACAAAGUUGUUGAGGUUAAUUCACUUAGAUGUUAGUGGCACUUGUCCACAACAUAAUACUACUCAUGCUGUAUGACAUUCACCGAAGAUCGCUCUCGGUUGGACAAUCGUUUAUUUUGAAUAAACACAAGUCCGAAUACUUUGCAAAAGGUUUCAAAGAAUUCAAGAAUGUAAGUUGAUGAGUAAGACGUCUGAAGUAUUUACCUCCUUAGAUUUGAUCCAAGGAAAGGUAACACUUUGGAACAAUUUCCUUGAAAGAUAUCAAGGAAAGAAGCAUCAUUAGAUAAUGGAUUUCUCCAUUAGGAGAAGAAUGAACUUGAAUAAGAUUUAGUUUGUUGGAUGUUAUCAAUUACCCAUAUAUAGGAUAUAUAUUUCUAAGACAAUAUGAUUGUCAAUUAGAAGAUCUUCCAAAAUUUUCAUGACUCCAUAGGAUGUAGUUGGAAAGAAAGAUAAGUCUUAAUCGUGUUAAGAUUUGGGGUUGUGUGCUAAUAAGCAAUAUUUGUUUGAGAAUUAUCUUGUGGAUAUCCUUAAAUUAACCUUUGGAUAUCACUUCUAUAAACCUACUAACAAAUGUUGUUUUGUUGGGUAGUUCAUUGUAAUCCUACAAUAUGAUUUGCCUAAGCGCAAAUGAACAAGAGAUAGAACUCAAAGAAUGGGUUCUUUGAGAGACAAGAUGAUAAUCAACAAAUAUAACAACCUAGUUCCUACACCACAAGCUCCAAGGUAGUCGAGAAAGAUUUAUAAACUAUGUUAAUAGAGUUACACCUCUUAAUUCGAAAGAAAUAAGAAUGAAAAUCCUUCUGACUACAUUGAGUGUAUAUACGACAUAUACUCAAGGAAAUGGUAAAGUACCAUUUGACCCGAAAUAAUGAAACGUUCAUAGCUAAUUGGUAGCUUAAGGUGACUACAAUCAAAGAGAAUGGUUGACUUGGAAGAAACCAUCUUUGACAUAGUCUUGGUUUCAAUUAAUUCAAAGAUUGCUAGCUACAACUAAAUGGUGAUUCAAUGUUUGGACAUAAUAUGGGUUCCGAAACCAUUAUUAAGAUAGUCUUGAUAAUAUAUGUCUAAAACUAUGAAUCACAAGACAUGUAAGUUGUAGAGAUCCAUUCAUCAUGAAUCUUAGCAAGCUAGUGGGAGCUAUAAGCGUCUUAUGAGAGAAAGAUCAAAUUGUUUGAUUUCUCAUAAAGAUGUAAAUGAAUCUUUUGUUUACUAGGUUUACAAAAGAUUAGUAGGAGUUAAUCAUGUUCCUAAAUUUGAAUAUAUAUAUAUAUAUAUAUAUGUACAUAUAUGAUAUAUUA